UACUACUGAUGGAGUUAGACGAGAAACUAUCAGGGUUAAUGGGUUGCCCUAAAGUUUCUGGAAUUCUAACAUUUGAUGAACAAGGUAAUUGUCUACAAGUUAAGGGAUUAAAUCCAUCUCAAGCGAAAUACAUUGUAGCAAAUUUUAAAACAAUAGUGCGAAAGCUGCUUAAAUGUUUUAAUAACCUAUUGUCGUCUGAAGAAUUAAUUUAUACUAAGAUCAGGUUACAGGGUUCUGAAAUAUUUAUUGUUCAAAAAAAUGGUUAUACGCUAUUUGUGAUACAAGACCUGAAGAAUAACAAAGGGCAAGCAAUCAAAAUGUAAAUAAACA